UACGACUACAUAUCAGGCAUAUCAAUAAGCGGAGGAAAAGAAACUAACUAGGAUUCCCUCAGUAACGGCGAGUGAAGCGGGAAGAGCUCAAAUUUGAAAUCUUCAAGGUUUUACCUUGACGAAUUGUAGCUUUAAAGAAGUGUUUUCUGUUGGAGUUUCGGUAAAAGUUCUUUGGAAUAGGACAUCAUAGAGGGUGAGAAUCCCGUAUUUGACCGUUACUUUCCAGCUGUGUGAUACACUUUCAAAGAGUCGGAUUGUUUGGGAAUGCAGUCCAAAAUGGGUGGUAAAUUUCAUCUAAAGCUAAAUAUUGGCGAGAGACCGAUAGCGAACAAGUACCGUGAGGGAAAGAUGAAAAGAACUUUGAAAAGAGAGUUAAACAGUACGUGAAAUUGUCAAAAGGGAAGCGUUUGACACCAGUGUUGUUUAGCUCGAAAAUCAAUUAAAAAUGGCUUGAUUUUGUGUUGUAUUGACCUUAAAAGCUUUCUUCACUUUUUUCAUGUCAUUUUUAAUGCACUUUUCGUUUAACAAGUCAACAUCAAUUUCUUUUGUUGUAAAAAGGUCAUUGGAAGGUGGCUUUCUUUUCGGAGAAAGUGUUUAUAGCCUUUGACUCCUGCAAUCGGAGAGACUGAGGUCUGCAGCGUAGAUCCUUUUGGAUUAGAUUCAUUUGUGCUAAGUUAUAGCUUUUUAUAGACAACAUGUUGACUAUAUUUAGUCUUGUAACUUACUCGCUUAUGUAAUUUUACCUACGCUUAGGAUGUUGACGCGCGUGUGUGCGUG
rnacentral:rRNA from 1 species